GCGGGGAAGCCGGUGCUAGUACAUAUCAAGUCGAGCGGACAGAUGGGUGCUUGCUCCCUGAUGUUAGCGGCGGACGGGUGAGUAACACGUGGGUAACCUGCCUGUAAGACUGGGAUAACUCCGGGAAACCGGGGCUAAUACCGGAUGCUUGUUUGAACCGCAUGGUUCAAACAUAAAAGGUGGCUUCGGCUACCACUUACAGAUGGACCCGCGGCGCAUUAGCUAGUUGGUGAGGUAACGGCUCACCAAGGCGACGAUGCGUAGCCGACCUGAGAGGGUGAUCGGCCACACUGGGACUGAGACACGGCCCAGACUCCUACGGGAGGCAGCAGUAGGGAAUCUUCCGCAAUGGACGAAAGUCUGACGGAGCAACGCCGCGUGAGUGAUGAAGGUUUUCGGAUCGUAAAGCUCUGUUGUUAGGGAAGAACAAGUGCCGUUCAAAUAGGGCGGCACCUUGACGGUACCUAACCAGAAAGCCACGGCUAACUACGUGCCAGCAGCCGCGGUAAUACGUAGGUGGCAAGCGUUGUCCGGAAUUAUUGGGCGUAAAGGGCUCGCAGGCGGUUUCUUAAGUCUGAUGUGAAAGCCCCCGGCUCAACCGGGGAGGGUCAUUGGAAACUGGGGAACUUGAGUGCAGAAGAGGAGAGUGGAAUUCCACGUGUAGCGGUGAAAUGCGUAGAGAUGUGGAGGAACACCAGUGGCGAAGGCGACUCUCUGGUCUGUAACUGACGCUGAGGAGCGAAAGCGUGGGGAGCGAACAGGAUUAGAUACCCUGGUAGUCCACGCCGUAAACGAUGAGUGCUAAGUGUUAGGGGGUUUCCGCCCCUUAGUGCUGCAGCUAACGCAUUAAGCACUCCGCCUGGGGAGUACGGUCGCAAGACUGAAACUCAAAGGAAUUGACGGGGGCCCGCACAAGCGGUGGAGCAUGUGGUUUAAUUCGAAGCAACGCGAAGACCUUACCAGUCUUGACAUCCUCUGACAAUCCUAGAGAUAGGACGUCCCCUUCGGGGCAGAGUGACAGGUGGUGCAUGGUUGUCGUCAGCUCGUGUC
rnacentral:rRNA from 1 species